UACGUAGGCAGCGAGCGUUGUUCGGAGUUACUGGGCGUAAAGGGUGCGUAGGCGGUUGUUUAAGUUUGGUGUGAAAUCUCCCGGCUCAACUGGGAGGGUGCGCCGAAUACUGAAUGACUAGAGUGCGGGAGAGGAGAGUGGAAUUCCUGGUGUAGCGGUGAAAUGCGUAGAUAUCGGAAGGAACACCUGUGGCGAAAGCGGCUCACUGGACCAUUACUGACGCUGAGGCGCGAAAGCUAGGGGAGCAAACAGG
rnacentral:rRNA from 1 species